GAAUUGUUGGAAAGAAAUUCAAAGUUACUAAACUAUCAAGGUUCCAACGAAGCCCCAUUAUCCCAAUUGGAUCAUUAGAGAAGUUAGAGUUGGCUAAAAGCUCAACUAAUACCGGUUUGGUGGCUUGUCCUUCCUCCACAACAUGUACUUUGGCUUCACCAGAAACAACAACUUGUUCUUGUUUCUUGUAUUUCUCUUCAAUUCGAAGAUGAUUUGUGAAAGCCUCAAGAGUUAUUUCUUCCUCUUUGUGUUUCAGACUUUUUGUAAAGUCUUUCCAUGAUGGAAGAAAUUUUUCUAUAAUGGAGGACACAACUAUAGUUUCAUCCAUUUUCAUUUUAUAUUGUUUAAACUAAUUAAGCAUUCUUUCAAUUUCUCGUAGUUGUUCUAUAACAAAAUGCCUAUCGACCAUUUGAUAAUUAAUAGAGCAACUAACCAGAAAUUUCCUACUUGUUGCAUCUUUUGUCAUGUACCUGACUUCCAGUUUGUCAAAUAAUUA